CAUCGCUCUAACCUAACUAUACUUCAGCCUCACUAUCUCUCUCCUAGCGCCUCUCUUAUCUAUCUUCUUCAUCGACCUCUAAACCGAUACAGAAAAAUACCCAGAAGAAAUCUCUUAAAUUAUUGCUCUAAACCCAACCCCUUUCUCCCCAUCUUCUUUAUCUCCUCGACAAAAUCGAGUUCUCCAGUAAACCUUAUUCUAAACAGGGUUUGUUGUUGAGGUUGUUCUCCUUCUAUACAGCAAAGAGGGGUUCACUAUUAUGGUAUUUCUCCCUUUCUACAGCAAAAAGGGGUAGCUGUUAAGGUCUUUCUCCAUACAAAAAGGGGCAACAAGAUGAUGAAUUGGAUGAGUUCAGUGAAAAUGUGCAAAGAACUUGAGGUGUGGAGCUCACUUUACACAAAGAAACUACUUAACAGGACAUGUACAAGCAUGUGAAUGAUGGUUCUUGACUGAAGGCCCCUCUUAUUUCUAAUGGUAACUAUAAGAUAAUUAUGAAGGAGAAGAUUUGUUGUGUGUUGCUGCUGACCAACUUUUUCACUUUCCUGCCACCUUCAUAUUUGUCGUCCGAACAUUUUCCGGUCGAUGAAAACUUCUGAUAUUGUCUGUCGUCUAUGCAUCCUUCGUAUAUCUCUUACUUGCGAUAUGAUGUGUUCGCCAGCUAUGCACUGGAAUUGCUAAGAUUUCGGGAGGCUGGUGCUGAAGUUGCCAUAAAGG